GAAGUGCGAUAAGCAAUGCGAAUUGCAGAACAGUGAGUCAUCAGAUUUUUGAACGCAACUGGCGCUAGUUGGAACUCCAACUAGCAUGCUUGUUUCAGUGUCUUUUUCUUUCCUAACCGAAAUCAUAAUGCGAGAGAUAACCUUCUCUUGUUAAGCAUGAAAGCACUCUGCGCUCUGCGAGCGACUUUGAUUCGUCAUUGUCGCACUCAAUGCAGCAGUCACAUUGUUUACAGUGUGAACUCAUUGAGAGUGGAGGCAGUGCGGCCUUACAGCUGCCAGUGCUUAGACACUCAAACUUUUCUUGUAUCUGAAAUCAAGCAGGAUCACCCGCUGAACUUAA
rnacentral:misc_RNA from 1 species